UACGGAGGAUCCGAGCGUUAUCCGGAUUCAUUGGGUUUAAAGGGUGCGCAGGCGGAGAUAUAAGUCAGUGGUGAAAACUGCCGCUCAACGGUAGUCUUGCCAUUGAUACUGUUUCUCUUGAGUAUGGAUGAGGUAGGCGGAAUGUGCAGUGUAGCGGUGAAAUGCAUAGAUAUCACGAGGAACUCCGAUUGCGCAGGCAGCUUACUAAAGCCAUAACUGACGCUCAGGCACGAAGGCGUGGGGAUCAAA
rnacentral:rRNA from 1 species